rnacentral:rRNA from 1 species
UACGUAGGUGUCGAGCGUUGUCCGGAUUUAUUGGGCGUAAAGAGCCCGCAGGCGGCUUGGCAAGUUUGAGGUGAAAUCUCCCGGCUUAACUGGGAGGGGGCCUCGAAAACUGCCAGGCUUGAGGCAUGGAGAGGGAUGCGGAAUUCCCGGUGUAGUGGUGAAAUGCGUAGAUAUCUGGAGGAACACCGGUGGCGAAGGCGGCAUCCUGGACCGGCAUUGACGCUGA